rnacentral:rRNA from 1 species
AGUAAAUAGAUACCCGGGUAGUCCACGCCGUAAACGAUGUCGACUUGGAGGUUGUGCCCUUGAGGCGUGGCUUCCGGAGCUAAACGCGUUAAAGUCGACCGCCUGGGGAGUACGGCCGCAAGGUUAAAACUCAAAUGAAUUGACGGGGGCCCGCACAAGCGGUGGAGCAUGUGGUUUAAUUCGAUGCAACGCGAAGAACCUUACCUACUCUUGACAUCCAGAGAACUUAGCAGAGAUGCUUUGGUGCCUUCGGGAACUCUGAGACAGGUGCUGCAUGGCUGUCGUCAGCUCGUGUUGUGAAAUGUUGGGUUAAGUCCCGCAACGAGCGCAACCCUUAUCCUUUGUUGCCAGCGGUUAGGCCGGGAACUCAAAGGAGACUGCCAGUGAUAAACUGGAGGAAGGUGGGGAUGACGUCAAGUCAUCAUGGCCCUUACGAGUAGGGCUACACACGUGCUACAAUGGCGCAUACAAAGAGAAGCGACCUCGCGAGAGCAAGCGGACCCCA